rnacentral:rRNA from 1 species
UACAGAGGUCUCAAGCGUUGUUCGGAAUCACUGGGCGUAAAGGGUGCGUAGGCGGCACGGUAAGUCAGAGGUGAAAUCCCGGAGCUCAACUUCGGAAUUGCCUCCGAUACUGCCGUGCUUGAGGACUGGAGAGGAGAUUGGAAUUCACAGUGGAGCAGUGAAAUGCGUAGAGAUGUGGAGGAAUACCGAUGGCGAAGGCAGCCCCCUGGGAUAACACUGACGCUCAUGCACGAAAGCGUGGGGAGCAAACAGG